CAAGAGGACUAUGAGACUAAAACAGGACCAUGACAAGAAUGUGACUUGACAGUUAGAUGGGACUGUAACAUUACAGGACGGUGACUAGGUAGAACUGGUAAAGGAUGACUGGCAAGAUUGUUAUUAGAUGUACUGGAACAGGACUGACAUAACCAUUGAUGGAUUUAUGACAAGAAUAGGACUGUAUUAUGGCAGGAAGCGAACUGGGACUUUUUUGGAUGCUUUACAGAUUGGCUGAGACAGAAU